rnacentral:tRNA from 1 species
UAAAAGAUAAGCUAAUUUUUCAAGCUAAUGGGUUCAUACCCCAUAUAUGGAGACUCCUCUUUUUG